rnacentral:tRNA from 4 species
GUCAGGUUACUCAAGUGGUCAACGAGGGCAGACUGUAAAUCUGCUGGCUUCGCCUUCGUAGGUUCGAAUCCUACACCUGGCACCA